CAAAGGUUUGGUCCUAGCCUUACUAUCAAGUGUUACUUAAUUUACACAUGCAAGUCUCCGCACCCCGGUGAAAACGCCCUUAAACUCCUUUUAGGAUAAUGGAGCUGGUAUCAGGCUCAAUCUUAUUUGCCCACGACACCUAGCCAUGCCACACCCUCAAGGGUAUUCAGCAGUGAUUAACAUUAAAAAUUAGCGCCAGCUAGAUUUAGUUAAAGUAGAUAGGGCCGGCAAAUCUGGUGCCAGCCGCCGCGGCUACACCAUGAGGCCCAAUUUGAUAGUCAUCGGCGUAAAGCGUGAUUAAAGUGAUCAUAGACACUAGAGUUAAAUUGUUAUUACACUGUGAUAAGUUCAUUACCAAGAAACCCAAGAACGAAAGUCACUCUAGAAUCCCCUACUUGAACUCACGACAGCUAGGAAACAAACUGAGAUUAGAUACCUCACUAUGCCUAGCCGUAAACCCUUUAAUUACCCUCAAAAUCGCCAGGGAACUACGAGCCCAUCCUUAAAACCCAAAGGACUUGACGGUGCCCCAUAUCCCCCUAGAGGAGCCUGUCCUAUAAUCGAUGAUCCACGUUUAACCUCACCCUCUCUUGCCACUCCGCCUGUAUACCUCCGUCGUCAGCUCACCGCAUGAGCGGUUAAUAGUGAGCACAAUGAUUUUUCAUCAAAACGUCAGGUCAAGGUGCAGCACAUGAGAGGGGAAGAGAUGGGCUACAUUUUCUAAGAUAGAAAAUUACGGAAGACUUAGUGAAACCCGGUCAGAAGGCGGAUUUAGCAGUAAAAAGAAACCAGAAAAUUCUUUUUAACCCGGCCCAGGGGCAUGUACACACCGCCCGUCGCCCUCUUCGUUGUAAUAAAAUAGUUUAUAACUCCCAGAAACUCUUAAGAAGAGGUAAGUCGUAACAUGGUAAGUAUACCGGAAGGUGUGCUUGGAAC
rnacentral:ncRNA from 1 species